rnacentral:rRNA from 1 species
GAUGAACGCUAGCGGCAGGCUUAAUACAUGCAAGUCGAGGGGCAUCAGGUCCGUAGCAAUACGGAUGCUGGCGACCGGCAAACGGGUGCGGAACACGUACACAACCUUCCUUUAAGUGGGGGAUAGCCCACGAGAAAUUUAGGUAUUAAUACCCCGUAACGAUUAUGAGAUGGCAUCAUUUUAUUAAUUAAAGCUCCGGCGCUUGAAGAUGGGUGUGCGGCUGAUUAGGUAGNGGUGCGGUACGGCCACCAAGCACGAUCAGUAACUGGUGUGAGAGCACGACCAGUCACACGGGCACUGAGACACGGGCCCGACUCCUACGGAGGCAGCAGUAAGGAAUAUUGGUCAAUGGACGCAA